GACGAACCGUGCGAACGUUAUUCGGAAUCACUGGGCUUAAAGGGCGCGUAGGCGGGUUCUCAAGUCAGGGGUGAAAUCCCGCGGCUCGACCGUGGAAGUGCCUUUGAUACUGGGGACCUCGAGGGAGGUAGGGGCGUGCGGAACUUCCGGUGGAGCGGUGAAAUGCGUAGAUAUCGGAAGGAACACCGGUGGCGAAAGCGGCGCGCUGGACCUCUUCUGACGCUGAGGCGCGAAAGCCAGGGGAGCAAACGGG
rnacentral:rRNA from 1 species